AAAAUCUGUUCCAAUCAUUAGGCUACAUGGUAAACCGGGGAUUAUUCCUACCACCGUUUCAUGAAGUACAUGUAAAAAACAAACAAAGCCUGAAGACAGGAGGUUCACAGAAUUUGAAUGCAACAGUCAAGAGAUGGGAAUCUGAGAUUGUUUCUUCCUUGCACCUGUCUAAAUAGGACCCAGAAGAUUCUGAUAAGGUAGCUUCAGAACAGAUGGAAGGAAAUAAUAACAAACAGGUCUUCUCAAGUUUUUUUUUUAAAACUACAAUUCCCAUUAUCUCUAACCAAUCUUAUGCAGGUUUGGUUAAAACAACUGAGUUGGGAGUCAGAUUUUCCAACUAAACAGAUUGAAUUUUUUAACCAUAUCUAUGACAAACAGAAAUAAAAUAUUACUGCCUUGAAAGUAAA